CCCAGCCUGCCAAAUUCUUACACAGCAACACGUCCAGCCAACCAAAAAACAACGCCUUUCCCAGAAAUUAUCCCACUGGCUGCGAGACGGUGAAAAAGAAGGAGGGAAAAAAAUCAGCUGGUUUACAUCACCCACCAACCAUAUUUUCAAAUUGCAAUGAACGUCAUCUAUGUUUUUCUCGCGGGUCCAGCAUAAAUUCGAAAAGGGGCUGAGUUUUGCAAUUUUUUUUUCAUAUUUUGGACAGGGUCACAACCUUUUUUUUAAACACCAUUCCAAUUGAACUGUUUAGCUAGUUAAAUCCUGCAUUUGUUUUUCACUGUCCUGGGUUACUAGUACAAUGCAAUUGUUUCUUCUAUACCAGAGUUUGUUUACAUCCUUUUAUUUCCUUUCGUGUUUAUUUUUACAUCGACAAGGCCGGGAAAGACAUACGGCGGGGGCUUGUCACGAGAGAGAGAGAGCGCCUUUGGAGUUAUUUUGUGAGUUCCUUCCCUCCAUAAAAACCACUCAGUUUAAAGGGGAAAGUGUCGUGGAGCGAGGAGAAGGAUUUAUUUUUUGGUUAUUGGAACAUAGGCCAGGAUGGUUGCUGCCUGCAAUAUGAAAGUAAAAUCGAGAGCAGGCGACAACUUAACAAAAUCCUCAGGAGGAACCUCGUCCUUCAUGUUGCUCCUGAAAGACCUUUGACGACCCAACAUUCGAAAAUAGAACGCGCACGCCCAGCGUCGCGUUCCAAAUUGGAACCUUCGGCGCCCAACGUUCGAAAAUAGAACGGAUCGCCCGCCGGUGCCGCGUUCCAAAUGAGAUCCUUUGCUAUUCCCGAGUUCAAUUCAGGAGUUUUAACACUUUUAUCCCCCCUUAAUUGUUUGAUUAACAUCGGCAAAUGGAAACUUAGGAUCUGCCCCUCAGAGCAAACCAAAAACCUUCCGCCCCACACACUCUCUGCCAAGGUCUGUCCGUGAACCCCGCAGCUCAGACAACCGUACCGAGCUGGUGUUUGUACAGUCUGUAGCGCUGCUGGGUCUGGGUUUGUUUGUAAUCUGACAGCAGGAAAUCCCGCCUUCCACCGGUCCACUAUUGGUGCUUGGACUGCUUUUAUUAGGUUGUAAAGAGGUGGAAGUAAUAUCAACGUGGUGCCGUUCACUGUGAGGACGAUAAAACGCGUUCCCGCUUGUGCAGACUCUACCCCUUCGUCCGUAUGAUUUGCAGAGCGUGCAGUGAAACACCAAUCAGAAAUAGCUAUGUAGCAGAAACCAAUCGCACAAAUUUGAUUUUUCAACUACCAGAGAAUACAUCACAGUAACUGUUUUGAACGUCACUGAUGUCAUUACCAGACAAGUCAGAUCCCAGUCAGGAACCUGGCUUGAUGGGUCAAAUUUUUAUUUGAUUUCGUUUUAAUGUAAUUGUCUCUCGCUAAAACAUGAACUCGCAAUGCUGCAGGUUUUGCUUUACCAAUAAAAUGGAAACUCAUUACAAAAGGAACAAAGAUAAAA